CUCUACCCCAUUCUAAAAUAUUUGUUUAACAAUUUUCAGCCUCUGCAAGAAGCAAAUAGAAAAAAAUAUCUGAAUGCGUCAAGAAGUAGCUCGGGGUCAAGUGAAAACAGAUGACUCUAUCGCGGUCAAGAACAUGUGGGUUCCCAACCGCAGAUUGUAGUAGAGAUGGAUGAAUUCAAAGACACCUGUCCCUCUUUUUGGGACUCCCUCUUCUCCCGUCUUAACUCAACCAGGAACAACCAGGACCAGCUGUGGCUCAGAGAUGCAGUCAAGUGACAUACAUCACUUUUUACACCUCUUCCCUUAACCAAGACCAUGGCAAUUGGUCCCAACUGAAGUCGUAACAUGAUGACUACCUGUAUUAUGAACAUUCUCCUUCACCACCAAAUACGCUCCUGAAGAAAUUGCUUUUGGCGUCCAUUUCUUGUCUGGGGGUCAAAGUCAGGAAAAUGCUUCCAGAAAUUUGAAUGUCACGCAGGAUGAUCGUGCCCUGCAAGUUUCUGCCCUGAGUACCUGGCAUGUUAAGAAAGAACACCUCAA